rnacentral:lncRNA from 1 species
AGGAAAGAACUGUGAGUAGUAGCGAACUAGACAUGAAAAGUUUCAGAGAACUACGAAAACUCUGGUCAGUUUUGUCGGGAUCUUGUGACACAGUUCCAGGACUCUAUUGACUAAGGAAAUGAUAUAUAUGUGUGAUUUAUCCUGUUAAAACUUUUAGUGUUCACUUAGGGGUGAGUGCAACCAGUAACUGAAUUUAGACUACAAACUAGAGUAUGACAGUAAAGUCAGGAGCAUGAUGGAGAACACACGGGACAUUGAGGACUAAUGGUCAACACUUAAAUCUUGCUUUACAUACAGUUCAGUUCCAAGUAGUCUGAUACAUAGAUGGCGAGGGGAGUGCUGAUUUGGGGUUGAUUUUGGUAAUUAUAUAUUUUCCUUGAUGACUAUCAUUUUGUUGUCCUACAUGUGCUAUAUGAUAUGCAUAACAACUUGAGAGCACCUUUGCUUCUCUUGAUGUGCUUCGUCAUACAGUUUUUUAAAGUGCACAAGCAAGCUUGCGAGUGAUGACAACUACUAUGACCUACAACCUUGAAUCUAGGUUUUUGGGGUUGAACAUAGGGGCACAGCGCGCUCUCCCAUCUAACCAGUGAAGCGUAAUGAAGGAAAAGCUACAAUAUACAAAUCGUCACCGUCAUUCAGUUUGUCCAAAACUGAGAAAAGCUCUUUAAAAAAUUGGGAAAAGCUCACGUGAUGGAAUGAGAUGAGAUUUCAACAUCAUGAUUGCGUUUUAUAAUUUGAACGACCAAAGUAGAUGGUCCCGUCAGCCCGUGUUUGACAAUAUGAAGGGACAAACUUGUUGAUCCAUUAUUUUGCCAGGAAAAUACAAUAAUUCGGAGGGCUUAAAUAUGGAUAAUAGAUCUGACAUAAUCUAGCAAGGUGAGUGACUCAAUUGCACAUGUGCAAAAUGGAAGUUUAAACUUCCUUGAAUCUCUUGUAGGGUUUGGGGGAGAUUGUCAGCGAGCCACUGAUGAAAGUCCUUUUGCGAUGACAAUGCUAGAGAAGAUUUGAAAGAUCUUGGUUGGCGUGGGGCAACUUGUGUAUUCCUGUAUGGGGGCGCCGUCCGGUGGCAGUGGGGUGUGGCAGUUGCCGCAGCUGGGCACAACCGGGAGUCCACCUAUCCAGAACACCCAACUAUUUCAUCCGGUGAACUGCGAAGAGCUUCUGUGUGCGUCUCCGUUAUAUUUAACUACGACAGGCUUAUGUUAUCUUAUCGCGAACUCAUUUUUCAGUUUGUGCCCAACGUGACUGCAUGUAAAUAUGUAAUACAGCAAUUUUGUUCUUCCUUUUUGUUGUUCGAUUGACUCAGUAUACCAUCUCAAAUGUCAUUCCCUUUAUAGCUAGCACAUCAUCUCCAAAGAAUUUAUUUAAGUUGAAAUCCAGUAAUUAUAUGUUGAUCGCAUAAGCAGGCUGAUGGUGUCUUGGUCGAAUUUUUUUAUUCCUUCUCUAUGGAACUAAAACUGUUCUUUCCUGAAUAUAUUGGAUCGCAAAGAACUAAACCUAUGUACAAUGUCUUUGGGCAUAUUCUGAAUUUGCAGAAUUAGCACAAAUCUGAAAGCAUAUAUGCAGCUCCCAGAUGUUGCAGGCUAGAGGAAGGGCAGGCACUCAUGCGAUACCAUGUAUCUGGUAGUGUUUUCGUUCCCCAGACGCUAUGCAUUUAUUGUCUGGUUUGUUCAUAUCUGUUAGCUCUAUGUUAACCUUCUUUUAGUUACUUCCCAUGAUUUUCUUUGUAAGAAACCCCAGAAAUAUAUAUAGGUGUAAUUUCCUGUAAAGAUGCUAAAUUUUGUUGGUCUUAUUUAUGGGAUAGCGAAACCAUUUUUGUGUGCACUUAAUUGUCUGGUUGGACGCGCCGGGUGUGGGGACACUGCAGGACAUGUUUGAUUAUCAUGUCAGUGAAUUCUGGCGAGAAUGAACCAAGUGAGCUUUUGUAGCUGGUCUAUUCAAAAUGGAUGAACGGACCAGUUAGUUUACAUAUAAGUUUGCACUCUGUCUUCCUGCUCAUUCGUGCAAUGUGUUCAUGGGAGACUUAUUUAGGAAAACAUAAAAUAAUUUUUCUUUCUAUGCGUACUACUCCAGCUUUCAAGUGCCAGGCUUCAAUAAAUCUGAAAUUUCUAUCGCUCGAUUUGCAGUGUUUAU